AUUGAACGCCGGCGGUAGGCCUAACACAUGCAAGUCGAACGGCAGCACAGUAAGAGCUUGCUCUUACGGGUGGCGAGUGGCGGACGGGUGAGGAAUACAUCGGAAUCUACUUUUUCGUGGGGGAUAACGUAGGGAAACUUACGCUAAUACCGCAUACGACCUACGGGUGAAAGCAGGGGAUCUUCGGACCUUGCGCGAUUGAAUGAGCCGAUGUCGGAUUAGCUAGUUGGCUGGGUAAAGGCCCACCAAGGCGACGAUCCGUAGCUGGUCUGAGAGGAUGAUCAGCCACACUGGAACUGAGACAAGGUCCAGACUCCUACGGGAAGCAGCAGUGGGGAAUAUUGGACAAUGGGCGCAAGCCUGAUCCAGCCAUACCGCGUGGGUGAAGAAGGCCUUCGGGUUGUAAAGCCCUUUUGUUGGGGAAGAAGAGCAGCAGGUUAAUACCCCGCUAUUCUGACGAUACCCAAAGAAUAAGCACCGGCUAACUUCGUG
rnacentral:rRNA from 1 species